rnacentral:rRNA from 1 species
UACGGAGGAUCCGAGCGUUAUCCGGAUUUAUUGGGUUUAAAGGGUGCGUAGGUGGAUUGGUAAGUCAGUGGUGAAAGUCUGUCGCUUAACGGUAGGAUUGCCAUUGAUACUGUUGGACUUGAAUAUGGAUGAGGUAGGCGGAAUGUGUAGUGUAGCGGUGAAAUGCAUAGAUAUUACACAAAACACCGAUUGCGAAGGCAGCUUACUAAUCCAUCAUUGACGCUGAGGCACGAAAGCGUGGGGAUCAAACAGGAUUAGAUA